GUGCUGGCUCCCAGAAGAGGAACCUGCUGCAGGCGCCGGCGCGGGCGGCGAGGACGACCUGUUUUUCUGACCCAGCCCGGAAGCGCUGGUGCAGGCCUUGAGCUUCCUUUUUUCUUCUCGCUGUGGAAAUUGCCUGGAAAGCUAUGAACUGUUGGUUCUUGAAUCAGUUGGCUGCCCCGGAUGUCUGAAUCCCUUGGAAGGAACCUGGAGGAGUUGGCUGAUGGGCUCCAGGUGCUACCGGAUCACCCUAACAACCCUCUGGGACCUGUGGCCAUGUGUUCACAACAGCAGCCAUUACAGGUGUUUCCUGAACUCUUGUCGCGAGCCUCUGUCGGCUCCAUCUCAUCGAUCCUCCCAGCAACCCACAAGGAAGCUUCACAGAGAGGCAGAUGCCACACAGGCCACCCACCCAGAUGCAGAGCCAGAUUCCCUGCGUGGACUGGACGGGAGUUUCCCAGCUGGAGUUCUCUCGGCCAAGCUGCCUGUGACAUGGGGUUGGAGGUGCUCCAGAGAGUCAUGGCCACCCCUGGAGGAAGUGACUUGUGGCUGACUGCUCAAGGGGAAGUCCUGUGGCAGUGGAGUCGUCAGCAUUAAUUCAAAUAAGCCCCAGCCGGAGUUCUGCCUCAUGCCACACGUGGGUCCAUUCCCGCGGAGUCUGGACUCUGGGUUAAGAGAGGACCAUCUGCUACCGGCCCCAGCCCAGAUGAUACAGUUAGAGCCUACCCACAGCAUCCUCCCCGCCUUCAGACAGUUCCAGGAACAGGGGGAUUCUGAAGGGCCCGCCCUUGGCAUUGGCUGAAACGCGGUGGGAGUAUUGAAAACGCUGGACCUGUAACUCCACAGAGAAGCGCCUCCCCACCUCAACACCAGCACUGUUCUCAAUGUGUGGUGGCCUCUCCCUGCCUGAGAGCUGGUCAUUUUGGCUUCAGGGAGCCGGGUGAGGCAAUGCACGGCCAGCAGGUCAUUUGACCUCAACAGCGCAGGCUCUGCCGGCUGCGAUUCCAUCACCCCUGGACUAGCAGAACCACUGCCUUUGCAGGAGUCUCAAAGGCCUGGGCUUUUGGGGGUGCUUCUCCGCCACUCCUGACUGCUUCUUUCCCUUCGGGGGCCGUGGCUGGUGCCUGCUGCGGGGUCAUUGCGUGACGCGAGCACCGCAGCAUCUCAGGUGCACGCGCCCUUCGAUGGCCCUGAGGUGCCCGGGAGCAGGCGAGGGCCGAGUCUUAACAGCUCCACUUCCUGUCCCCGAGUCUAUCUGCCACUGCUCUGUAGAGUCCUACAGUUUAUCUGUGGUCAGUUUUCUUACCCAUUUCCUGCCAGCUGCUACUGGUUUUUUAGUCAGCUCUGACAGCUACGGUAAUUGGGAAAGGACGCAGGCUGCUGGGGCCGGGUGAUUCACCAGCUCUGGCCAACAGGGACAAGGAGCACAGACGGAGGCACCCCGUCGGUCCCCCAGGGCCUGGUCCCCCAGGCUUCAAUGAGUGAGACACAGAAAAGACCCAGGGGCACACUCAUUGUGAACCGAAAGCUGAUCUCUGUGCACGCGCGCGUGCAUGUGACAUAAGGGAAUUUUUUUUUUUUGAAUGUGCCAGAGCCAAUAUAAAUGGUUUCAUGUUUUGAGAAGUCAGAACAUAACUCCAGGCUGAGUGAGGCCCCUCUCCCGGGGAGCCCCAUGUUUUCUCUGAGGUGUAACUGCGGUGAGUUGUCUGUGCCUCAGAUUAGGAUACUGGAGUCACACUUAACAUUUUAUUUCAUGGCAUUUCCAAAAACGAAGGGAAAACCCCCAUUGCAGCAAAUGACUCCUCCAAAUAGAAAACUUUGUGUCUGUUUUGUAAAUGCUGUGGAAGGGAGUUUUGGAGCUGCCUCACUGUCAGUCAUCGCCCAGCCAGGUGCCUUUGGUUGCUGAGUGUUGCACUCAGGGGUGGGCUGCUGGCUGCCGAGCAGUGCCCCUCAGAGGCGGGGGCAGGACCAGCCACACAGCCUCACCUGUCUGGGCCUCUGGAGCCAGCGCCUCCGAGUUUUACCUGACUCUCCGGGUGGCCCUGUUGCCUACUCUAGUGUGAGAAGCACCUCUCUAGACUUUACUGGAAGCUAAUAUUAAUUUUAUUGAUAGCCGUGGGUUAUGGAGCAUGAAAAUGAUCCUCCAAUGCAGAAUGAAAUGACCCACUUCACACAGAUUUACUGCCUUCCUCCCAGGCACCAGGAUCUGUGCUGGGCACAGCAAGGGACCACCUGGCCUCGGGAGCUAAGGGCUCUGUCUCCAGGGGUCCCAGUCUGGAGAAGGUGGGUAAAGCAAACAAGGAAGCCUCCUAAUAAGAAGUUCCCUAAUCAGACAUGGACUUUGCUGCCAGGAGCACCCAGUGGGGCCAGCCUGGGGCCCAGGGAGGUAAGCAGAAGGGGCUCACUGUAGUAGUAGGUGAGACACAAACAGUUUCAUCCAUGGGUAGGAAAUAGAUGAGGGGGAGGGAGAGAGUUAGGAGAUGGUCAUGGAGAUUGCGGGUGCUAAGAAUGGCCUUGGUGGGUUUGGGGUCAUCCCUGCUCUGACACUGUACAGCACAGUCAGCUUGAACCAGUCCCUGACCUCUCUAAGGAUCAGUUUUCUCAUCCAUGCAAUGGGUUUAAUGAUAGUUCCUUUUGUGAUUGUUGUGAUACUUCAAUGAGAGAAUAAUGCAAAGUGCUUAGUGCAGCCCUCACUAAGCUCAGUAAGGAGGGUGACUGCAUCUGAGGGCAGUGGGAGCCACUGAGGGGGUUUCAGCCGGUGAGUGACGGGAGCAGAUUUUUUUUUCUUGAAUAAUUCCUGGAAAUGCUUUGAUCAUUUAGGCCAGCAGAGGCUCUUGGUUGAGCAUGAGACGCAUGAACCAUUAAGAUUGCAGGAUAUAAUCAUGUGCAAAUUUUAGACAAUACCUGAAAUCCUAAAAUGCAUUUCCUUUUUCCCAUCGCCAUAG
rnacentral:lncRNA from 1 species